rnacentral:lncRNA from 1 species
GGGUGAGAAACGGAGGCCUUCAGCCAACAGCUGGGAGAAGCUGAGUCCCAUCAGCCAUUCAAAAGACUGCAGCCCCAGCCAAGAGUUUGAUGUAACCUCAGGAGAGACCCUGAGCCAGAACCACCUAGAAAAGCUGGGAUACAUGAAGACUGCCAUCCCUUGAGUCACUUGCCCUGUAGCUGCCACUGUUGGAAAAGGGCUUGCUUCUGUGUCCUUGUGCCCACUUUGAAAAUCCCUGGGAAGUCCUUGGAGUCAGAUGAGCAGGCCUCCGCCACUCUGCCAAAAAGUCUGUUCACAAUGGUGCUUCUACAAUUUCCUUAUAGGAGGAGUGAAGAGUAAGCAUUUGGAUUGGACCAGGAUUUGGAGAACUUGUCAUGUUGCUCUACGUGCAUAUGAAAUACAUCAUUGUAACUUAGAAUGUGAAUUACAGAACAAACAUGAAAGUUAGAAAAA